rnacentral:rRNA from 1 species
CGGACGGGUGAGUAAUGUCUGGGAAACUGCCCGAUGGAGGGGGAUAACUACUGGAAACGGUAGCUAAUACCGCAUAACGUCGCAAGACCAAAGAGGGGGACCUUCGGGCCUCUUGCCAUCGGAUGUGCCCAGAUGGGAUUAGCUAGUAGGUGGGGUAACGGCUCACCUAGGCGACGAUCCCUAGCUGGCCUGAGAGGAUGAUCAGCCACACUGGGACUGAGACACGGCCCAG